AUGAAAUCAUAAAAUAAAAGAUGAAUCAUAAUAAAAAGCAAAUCGAUGUUUGUAAGUAUAAUAUCGAUGAGUCAUUCAAGUAUCUGAUCUAUCAGCUUCGAUGGUAGGGUAUUGGCCUACGAUGGCGUUGACGGGUAACGGAUCUUUAGGGAGAGAAUCCGGAGAGGGAGCCUGAGAAACGGCUACCACAUCCAAGGAAGGCAGCAGGCGCGGAAAUUACCCAAUCCUGAAUCGGGGAGUAGUGACAAGAAAUAGUAUGGUGGUUUUUGUAUAAUAAAAAUUACCAAAAAUGAGUUAAAUAUAUAUCCGUUAACGAGGAUCAAUUGGAGGGCAAGUCUGGUGCCAGCAGCCGCGGUAAUUCCAGCUCCAAUAGCGUAUAUUAAAGUUGUUGCCAGUUAAAAAAGCUCGUAGUUGAAAGAAUGAAUGGUUGAUGAGUAAUUUUAUGGUAUUGUUUUGAAGAUUGUUGUUUGUAAAAGAACCAUCAAGUUUAGAUA
rnacentral:rRNA from 1 species